ACAAGCGGUGGAGCAUGUGGUUAAUUCGAAGCAACGCGAAGAACCUUACCAGGUCUUGACAUCCCCUGACAACCCGAGAGAUCGGGCGUUCCCCUUCGGGGGGACAGGGUGACAGGUGGUGCAUGGUUGUCGUCAGCUCGUGUCGUGAGAUGUUGGGUUAAGUCCCGCAACGAGCGCAACCCUCGACCUUAGUUGCCAGCAUUCAGUUGGGCACUCUAAGGUGACUGCCGGCUAAAAGUCGGAGGAAGUGGGGAUGACGUCAAAUCAUCAUGCCCCUUAUGACCUGGGCUACACACGUGCUACAAUGGGCGGUACAAAGGGUCGCGAACCCGCGAGGGGGAGCCAAUCCCAAAAAGCCGCUCUCAGUUCGGAUUGCAGGCUGCAACUCGCCUGCAUGAAGCCGGAAUCGCUAGUAAUCGCGGAUCAGCAUGCCGCGGUGAAUACGUUCCCGGGUCUU
rnacentral:rRNA from 1 species